rnacentral:rRNA from 1 species
AGGACGAAACGCUGGCGGCGUGCUUAACACAUGCAAGUCGAGCCGGUAAGGGCCUCCUUCGGGGGGUACACGAGCGGCGAACGGGUGAGUAACACGUGGGUGACCUGCCCUCAGCUCUGGGAUAAGCCUGGGAAAACCGGGUCUAAUACCGGAUAGGACUGCUUGCCGCAUGGUGGGUGGUGGAAAGUUUUUUCGGCUGGGGAUGGGCCCGCGGCCUAUCAGCUUGUUGGUGGGGUGAUGGCCUACCAAGGCGGUGACGGGUA